rnacentral:rRNA from 1 species
UGGGGAAUAUUGGACAAUGGGCGCAAGCCUGAUCCAGCAAUGCCGCGUGUGUGAAGAAGGCCUUCGGGUUGUAAAGCACUUUUAUCAGGAGCGAAAUCUGCAGGGCUAAUACCCAUGCAGUCUGACGGUACCUGAGGAAUAAGCACCGGCUAACUCCGUGCCAGCAGCCGCGGUAAUACGGAGGGUGCAAGCGUUAAUCGGAAUUACUGGGCGUAAAGCGUGCGUAGGCGGUUCGUUAAGUCUGUUGUGAAAGCCCCGGGCUCAACCUGGGAAUGGCAAUGGAUACUGGCGAGCUAGAGUGUGUCAGAGGAUGGUGGAAUUCCCGGUGUAGCGGUGAAAUGCGUAGAGAUCGGGAGGAACAUCAGUGGCGAAGGCGGCCAUCUGGGACAACACUGACGCUGAGGCACGAAAGCGUGGGGAGCAAACAG